AGCGAACGCUGGCGGCAGGCCUAAUACAUGCAAGUCGAACGGAUCCUUCGGGAUUAGUGGCGGACGGGUGAGUAACACGUGGGAACGUGCCCUUUGGUUCGGAACAACUCAGGGAAACUUGAGCUAAUACCGGAUAAGCCCUUCGGGGGAAGGAUUUAUCGCCAUUGGAGCGGCCCGCGUCUGAUUAGCUAGUUGGUGGGGUAAAGGCCUACCAAGGCGACGAUCAGUAGCUGGUCUGAGAGGAUGAUCAGCCACACUGGGACUGAGACACGGCCCAGACUCCUACGGGAGGCAGCAGUAGGGAAUCUUGCGCAAUGGGCGAAAGCCUGACGCAGCCAUGCCGCGUGAAUGAUGAAGGUCUUAGGAUUGU
rnacentral:rRNA from 1 species